rnacentral:rRNA from 1 species
UAGAGUUUGAUCCUGGCUCAGAUUGAACGCUGGCGGCAGGCCUAACACAUGCAAGUCGAGCGGUAACAGGACUAGCUUGCUAGUUGCUGACGAGCGGCGGACGGGUGCGUAACACGUAGGAAUCUGCCCGGUAGUGGGGGAUAGCCCGGAGAAAUCCGGAUUAAUACCGCAUACGCCUUAAGAGGGAAAGCAGGGGACUCUUCGGAACCUUGCGCUAUCGGAUGAGCCUGCGUCGGAUUAGCUUGUUGGUGGGGUAAAGGCCUACCAAGGCAACGAUCCGUAGCUGGUCUGAGAGGAUGAUCAGCCACACUGGGACUGAGACACGGCCCAGACUCCUACGGGAGGCAGCAGUGGGGAAUAUUGCACAAUGGGCGAAAGCCUGAUGCAGCCAUGCCGCGUGUGUGAAGAAGGCCCUAGGGUUGUAAAGCACUUUCAGCGAGGAGGAAAGGUUCAAGGUUAAUACCCUUGAGCUGUGACGUUACUCGCAGAAGAAGCACCGGCUAACUCCGUGCCAGCAGCCGCGGUAAUACGGAGGGUGCGAGCGUUAAUCGGAAUUACUGGGCGUAAAGCGUGCGUAGGCGGCUUGUUAAGUUGGAUGUGAAAGCCCCGGGCUUAACCUGGGAACGGCAUCCAAAACUGGCAAGCUAGAGUGCGGAAGAGGAGUGUGGAAUUUCCUGUGUAGCGGUGAAAUGCGUAGAUAUAGGAAGGAACACCAGUGGCGAAGGCGACACUCUGGUCUGACACUGACGCUGAGGUACGAAAAGCGUGGGGGAGCAAACAGGAUUAGAUACCCUGGUAGUCCACGCCGUAAACGAUGUCUACUAGUCGUCGGGGAUCUUGCAUUCCUGGUGACGCAACUAAACGCGAUAA